UACGAAGGGGGCUAGCGUUGUUCGGAUUUACUGGGCGUAAAGCGCACGUAGGCGGACUUUUAAGUCAGGGGUGAAAUCCCGGAGCUCAACUCUGGAACUGCCUUUGAUACUGGAAGUCUUGAGUAUGGAAGAGGUUGGUGGAACUGCGAGUGUAGAGGUGAAAUUCGUAGAUAUUCGCAAGAACACCAGUGGCGAAGGCGGCCAACUGGUCCAUUACUGACGCUGAGGUGCGAAAGCGUGGGGAGCAAACAGG
rnacentral:rRNA from 1 species